AGUAGUUUGAUCCUGGCUCAGGACACGCUGGCGGCGUGCUUAACACAUGCAAGUCGAGCGGAAAGGCCCUUCGGGGUACUCGAGCGGCGAACGGGUGAGUAACACGUGAGUAACCUGCCCUUGGCUCUGGGAUAGCUCCGGGAAACCGGAAUUAAUACCGGAUAUGACCACUUUAGACAUCUUCGGUGGUGGAAAGAUUUAUCGGCCAGGGAUGGGCUCGCGGCCUAUCAGCUUGUUGGUGGGGUAACGGCCUACCAAGGCGACGACGGGUAGCCGGCCUGAGAGGGCGACCGGCCACACUGGGACUGAGACACGGCCCAGACUCCUACGGGAGGCAGCAGUGGGGAAUAUUGCGCAAUGGGCGAAAGCCUGACGCAGCGACGCCGCGUGGGGGAUGAAGGCCUUCGGGUUGUAAACCCCUUUCGGCAGGGACGAAGCGAAAGUGACGGUACCUGCAGAAGAAGCGCCGGCUAACUACGUG
rnacentral:rRNA from 1 species